AAUGUUUGCGCUUUUUCUAUCCCCCAAAUGCUGAGAGAACUCUAGACGAGCAGUCCAGACGCUAAAUAGAUCAGUCCUCUGCUCUAUAGGGGUAGUGGGAGUCUAUAGUGUGGUCGGUAAGGGAGUGGACUGAUCACCUGAGUUCUGACGGCUUGGGCCAGUGUCACCUCAGGUCACACCAAGCAGAAGGUUCUCAGGAAUAUCAUGCAUGUACCAGAAAGAGAACCGAAAAUCUUGACGCCAGAAAGAAGGGCUUCUGGCCUGUGCAUCUGCCACCUGGAGCAGACCAAAUCCACAUCCUAAGACACAGGAAUCUCAGAGGACCAGGAUAGUCACCAAGUGCCAUGCCGCUGUCUGAGCAUCUCUUCUGAGGAAAAGCACUUGGCUGAGCUCUGCCCCCAUGGAACUGAUGCUGGCAAAACCAAGCGUCUGCCCAGCCAGAAUAACCACCACUUGGUGCUUUGGUGAGAAACCACAGUGAUGGCUGAAGGCUUGAGUAGCAUUUUUUUUUUUUUUUUAGACGGAGUCUCGCUCUGUCACCAGGCUGGAGCGCAGU
rnacentral:lncRNA from 1 species